GACAAAGGCCAGGAUUGAAGCUCAUGCGGUCUGGCUCCAGAACAACUCUUCUUCAUAGUUACGUUAUACUGCCCCUGCAUUGUUGGUAUUGAAAGAGGGCUCUGAGAGAUUUCAUUUCUGUCCUGCUGAUGAAGUCUACUUUCAUUCAGGGCCUGCUGUGGAAGACCAGCCCCCAAAGUUGCUGAACAGAAGACUUUUGAGAGUCAGCAGAAAUCUUCCACUUUGCAUGGUUCUCUUGAUGUGAAAUCAUCUAUAUAGCCCCAGAAUUGGAAAAGAAAAAAAAUAAAAAAAUAGAAGGAAA
rnacentral:antisense_RNA from 1 species